CUUGAACGCUGACGGCAGGCUUAACACAUGCAAGUCGAGCGGAGAUGAGGUGCUUGCACCUUAUCUUAGCGGCGGACGGGUGAGUAAUGCUUAGGAAUCUGCCUAUUAGUGGGGGACAACAUUCCGAAAGGAAUGCUAAUACCGCAUACGUCCUACGGGAGAAAGCAGGGGAUCUUCGGACCUUGCUCUAAUAGAUGAGCCUAAGUCGGAUUAGCCAGUUGGUGGGGUAAAGGCCUACCAAGGCGACGAUCUGUAGCGGGUCUGAGAGGAUGAUCCGCCACACUGGGACUGAGACACGGCCCAGACUCCUACGGGAGGCAGCAGUGGGGAAUAUUGGACAAUGGGGGAAGCCCUGAUCCAGCCAUGCCGCGUGUGUGAAGAAGGCCUUAUGGUUGUAAAGCACUUUAAGCGAGGAGGAGGCUACUGAGACUAAUACUCUUGGAUAGUGGACGUUACUCGCAGAAUAAGCACCGGCUAACUCUGUGCCAGCCGCCGCGGUAA
rnacentral:rRNA from 1 species